rnacentral:rRNA from 1 species
GUCUAUGGCCAUACCACCCUGAAUGUACCUGAUCUCGUCUGAUCUCAGAAGCUAAGCAGGGUCGGGCCUGGUGAGUACUUGGAUGGGAGACCUCCUGGGAAUAGCGGAUGCUGUAGGCU